UUGAGAGUUUGAUCCUGGCUCAGAACGAACGCUGGCGGCAGGCCUAACACAUGCAAGUCGAGCGCACCCUUCGGGGCGAGCGGCGGACGGGUUAGUAACGCGUGGGAAUGUACCCUUCUCUAUGGAAUAGCCUCGGGAAACUGAGAGUAAUACCAUAUACGCCCUUCGGGGGAAAGAUUUAUCGGAGAAGGAUCAGCCCGCGUAAGAUUAGAUAGUUGGUGGGGUAAUGGCCUACCAAGUCUACGAUCUUUAGCUGGUUUUAGAGGAUGAUCAGCAACACUGGGACUGAGACACGGCCCAGACUCCUACGGGAGGCAGCAGUGGGGAAUAUUGGACAACGG
rnacentral:rRNA from 12 species